UACGGGGGGAGCAAGCGUUGUUCGGAUUUACUGGGCGUAAAGGGCGCGUAGGCGGCCACCGCAAGUCGACUGUGAAAUCUCCGGGCUUAACCCGGAAAGGUCAGCCGAUACUGCGGGGCUCGAGUGCAGAAGGGGCAACUGGAAUUCUCGGUGUAGCGGUGAAAUGCGUAGAUAUCGAGAGGAACACCUGCGGCGAAGGCGGGUUGCUGGGCUGACACUGACGCUGAGGCGCGAAAGCGUGGGGAGCAAACAGG
rnacentral:rRNA from 1 species